AUAAAUGGGUUGGAAUGAAAACCCAUAAAUUAGUUUGAUAAUAGAUGAAGCACUGCAACUCCAUCAUCACCUCCACCGCCUCUGCCUCCAUCUCCAACUCCACCGCCUCUGCCUCCAUCUCCACCCCCACCCCCACCUCCUCCUCCGCACCUUCUAUACAUGCACAAAGUCGCCGUUGCUCCUUGGGCUACACACCGGCAACAUCGAAUUCACCGGCGUUGACCAUCCAUUACAGUACCAUUGCGGUUAAAUACCCUUUCCCCCCGGAUUCUUGUUCCUGUUAUGCGGCAGAUUGGGUGAAAUCUUGAGAAUAUGAAGCUUUCCACAAAACCUUCUGGUUCAACUGGUUCAACUGGAGAUUCGAUACUAUAUAGGUCCGAUGACACUGCACGCCGACAACCAUCUGUGAAGGCUGCACUUUCAGUUUCAAUUUAUUGAUUCGGUUUGCAAUUGCGUUGGGUGCUGUUUUUUUGUUCUUGGGGUUCUUUUUUUAUUUCUGCAGAUAUAUAUUUAAUUCUUUAUAUUUACAUGCUUAUCACUGGCCCAGUUCUAUAGGGUUCUUGGUUCAAUGCACAACUCUUGCCAAAUUUACGAGAAAGCUGAUGGGCAUGUCCAAAUCUUGCAAGUGAGUGUCCAAAUCCCAUUUUUGAUGUGGGACUUUAUCGCUCUUGGUUGGUUCAAUCCAUCACGGCCUACGAUUUUUGAAAUAAAAUUGCUAUAAGAUGCAUUAUAUAUGUUACAGAAUCACACUGUGCUUACCUGUUGAUCAAAUUCAAGUGCAGCAUCAUAAUUGUUUUAUUCCUGCAAUUAAUAAACAGUUCCUGUA